rnacentral:rRNA from 1 species
UACGAGGGGGGCAAGCGUUGUUCGGAAUUAUUGGGCGUAAAGGGUGCGCAGGCGGUUUGGUAAGUCUUAUGUGAAAUCUACAGGCUCAACUUGUAGUCUGCAUGAGAAACUGCCGGGCUUGAGUAUGGGAGAGGUGAGUGGAAUUCCUGGUGUAGCGGUGAAAUGCGUAGAUAUCAGGAGGAACACCUGUGGCGAAAGCGGCUCACUGGACCAUAACUGACGCUGAUGCACGAAAGCUAGGGGAGCAAACAGG